AUUGAACGCUGGCGGCAGGCCUAACACAUGCAAGUCGAGCGGCAGCGGGAAAGUAGCUUGCUACUUUUGCCGGCGAGCGGCGGACGGGUGAGUAAUGCCUGGGAAAUUGCCCAGUCGAGGGGGAUAACAGUUGGAAACGACUGCUAAUACCGCAUACGCCCUACGGGGGAAAGCAGGGGACCUUCGGGCCUUGCGCGAUUGGAUAUGCCCAGGUGGGAUUAGCUAGUUGGUGAGGUAAUGGCUCACCAAGGCGACGAUCCCUAGCUGGUCUGAGACGAUGAUCAGCCACACUGGAACUGAGACACGGUCCAGACUCCUACGGGAGGCAGCAGUGGGGCAUAUUGCACAAUGGGGGAAACCCUGAUGCAGCCAUGCCGCGUGUGUGAAGAAGGCCUUCGGGUUGUAAAGCACUUUCAGCGAGGAGGAAAGGUUGAUGCCUAAUACGUAUCAACUGUGACGUUACUCGCAGAAGAAGCACCGGCUAACUCCGUGCCAGCAGCCGCGGUAAAAC
rnacentral:rRNA from 1 species